GCUAAUAACUAGCCCUGACACCUUUAAACACAACUAUCUUAUAAACUUCAACUAAAUCAUUCUAAAACCCUAGUAUAGGUGAUAGAAAAGUUACUACACAGGAGCUAUAGUUCUAGUACCGCAAGGGAACAAUGAAAGACCAAUUUAAAGCAUACAAAAGCAAAGAUUAACCCUUAUACCUUUUGCAUAAUGAUUUAGCUAGUCAACACGGACAAAACGAAUUAAGCCCGACCCCCCGAAAUUAAGUGAGCUACUAUAAAACAGUUAUUAUGAACCAACUCGUCUAUGUAGCAAAAUAGUGAGAAGAUUUUAUAGUAGAAGUGAAAAACCUAUCGAACUUAAAGAUAGCUGGUUAUCCAAAACAUGAAUUUUAGUCCAACUUUAAGUCCUAUUAACUACAAACUCCGCCUAAGUUCCCCUUAGACUUAAAAGCCAAUCAAAUGAGGGACAACUCAUUUGAUACAGUAGACAAACUCUAUUAGAGGGUAAUGAAACCUAAUAAUCCAUUGUAGGCUUAAAAGCAGCCAUCAAUUAAGAAAGCGUUAAAGCUCAAACAUACUUAACAACUUAAUAAUAAAAAACAACCAAACCCCCUAAUCUACUAUUGGAUGAUUCUAUUUAACUUUAGAAGACAUAAUGCUAAAAUCAGUAAUAAGAAAUAUUUCUCCCCGCACAAGCCUAAGUUAGCAAACGGAUACCCCGCUAAUAAUUAACAAACAUAUAACCAUAACCACAAACUAGCCUAUUACCCUACUUAUUGUUAACCCAACACAGGAGUGCGAAACAUUUUGAAAGGAAAGAUUAAAAAGAAUAAAAGGAACUCGGCAAAACUAACCCCGCCUGUUUACCAAAAACAUCACCUCUAGCAUUCAUAGUAUUAGAGGCACUGCCUGCCCAGUGAGUCCAACUUUAACGGCCGCGGUAUCCUGACCGUGCAAAGGUAGCAUAAUCACUUGUCUCUUAAUUAGAGACUAGUAUGAAUGGCAUAACGAGGGUUUAACUGUCUCUUUUUCUCAAUCAAUGAAAUUGACCUACCCGUGCAGAGGCGGGUAUAACUAUAUAAGACGAGAAGACCCUGUGGAGCUUAAGAUUAAUAACUUAUUAAACCAGUAGCAUAAACCCUAAGGGACAAUAAUCAUGCCUAAACAACUAAGUUAUAAUCUUUGGUUGGGGUGACCUCGGAGAACAAAACAACCUCCGAAUGACAUAACCAAGACCAACACUUCUAAGUGCCUACAAGCCAGUAAUUGACCCAAACUCUUGAUCAACGGAACAAGUUACCCCAGGGAUAACAGCGCAAUCCUAUUUAAGAGCCCCUAUCGACAAUUAGGGUUUACGACCUCGAUGUUGGAUCAGGACACCCCAAUGGUGCAACCGCUAUUAAAGGUUCGUUUGUUCAACGAUUAAAGUCCUACGUGAUCUGAGUUCAGACCGGAGAAAUCCAGGUCGGUUUCUAUCUAUAUAUUCAUUUCUCCCAGUACGAAAGGACAAGAGAAAUAGGGCCCACAUGACACAUGCGCCCUCAUAUUAAUUAAUGAAAAAAAUCUAAAUUAAUUAAAUACUCACAUUAACCCUCUAGAAAAGAG